GCAGUGUGGGAUGGAUGUGGCAUGCAGGAAGAAGAGCUAACAGCAUGGCAAACAAGGAUAUUGCGAGUGCAUUCCAGACCUGGAUUCAUGGAGUCACAGGGUUCCUGUCCUUAAUCCUCUUGCUUUAUAAGGUGUAAUUCUACAGACCGUCUUUUAUUUGGAAUUGUACUAUUGAAACUGGAACUGUUUUUAAGGCAUUACUAUCUAUGCAAGAUCUUGAGCAUGGAGAUAGCUUCAAUGUUGGCAAUGGGUUCUCCCCACAAUGAUAAAUCUGCUCCCUGUUACACUGUGAAGGCUGAUCUGACUGAACAGGGUAGCAGCAGAAACACCCUUGGCGUGGCAUCUCAGUAACCCUUAAGGAAUUUCACGAUAUUCAAGAUGGACAAGAUAAGUCACCAGUGAAGUGUUGACAACCCUGAAAUAUUUGGGGUUAUUAAGUCAAGUCUAGAAAGCACAGGUCGUCGAAAAUAUUUGUAAGCUGAAGAAGCCAAGUGAAACAUAGAACUAUGGGCUAUAUGGCUCUUUUAUAUUCUAAUAUUUUGAAAUGUCUCCCUUCAGUAAUUUUUGUAAACUGUAAAAUUUGACUAAAAAAUAG
ensembl:lncRNA